rnacentral:rRNA from 1 species
CCUACGGGAGGCAGCAGUGGGGAAUAUUGCGCAAUGGGCGAAAGCCUGACGCAGCGACGCCGCGUGAGGGAUGAAGGUCUUCGGAUCGUAAACCUCUGUCAGCAGGGAAGAACGGUCCGUUUGCUAAUCAGCAGUGCAUUGACGGUACCUGCAAAGGAAGCACCGACUAACGCCGUGCCAGCAGCCGCGGUAAUACGGCGGGUGCGAGCGUUAAUCGGAAUUACUGGGCGUAAAGCGCUCGUAGGCGGUAUGUCAAGUCAAGGGUGAAAGCCCCGCGCUCAACGGGGGAACUGCCUUUGAAACUGGGAGACUGGAGUGUGGGAGAGGAGAGUGGAAUUCCAGGUGUAGGAGUGAAAUGCGUAGAUAUCUGGAGGAACAUCAGUGGCGAAGGCGACUAGCUGGAACAUAACUGACGCUGAGGAGCGAAAGCGUGGGUAGCAAACAGGAUUAGAUACCCCUGUAGUC